AACGAACGCUGGCGGCAGGCUUAACACAUGCAAGUCGAACGGAUCCUUCGGGAUUAGUGGCAGACGGGUGAGUAACGCGUGGGAACGUACCCUUUGCUACGGAAUAACUCAGGGAAACUUGAGCUAAUACCGUAUGUGCCCUACGGGGGAAAGAUUUAUCGGCAAAGGAUCGGCCCGCGUUGGAUUAGCUAGUUGGUGGGGUAAUGACCUACCAAGGCGACGAUCCAUAGCUGGUCUGAGAGGAUGAUCAGCCACACUGGGACUGAGACACGGCCCAGACUCCUACGGGAGGCAGCAGUGGGGAAUAUUGGAAAAUGGGCGCAAGCCUGAUCCAGCCAUGCCGCGUGAGUGAUGAAGGUCUUAGGAUUGUAAAGCUCUUUCACCGGUGAAGAUAAUGACGGUAGCCGGAGAAGAAGCCCCGGCUAACUUCGUG
rnacentral:rRNA from 1 species